rnacentral:lncRNA from 1 species
CCAGCAUUGACUUUCUCAAAUUCAUUUCUAGAAACCACAGUUCAUAGCCGUGAAAUAUUUUUAAAUGAAAAAUUAUUUGCAUUUUUUAAAGAGGUUUUUUGAAAAGAAAUAAGUUGAAAGCUUGUUGAGUAGACUUUUAGGAAAGAGAGGUGCAACUCAAUGGAAAACUUAAAGUACAUUGUCUUUCCUUAGCAAAACUAUUCCCUAACUAGUUUAAUAAAUUUCAAAUAAUUAUCAUCUCAAGACAUUAAUCCAGCAAUCAGAUUUUCACAACCCAACGAUUUCACCAUCAUAUAUUUUGAACAAAGAACAUAGAAUAAUCAAAAGAAAGUUAACAUCUACUUACAAUAUUAGCAUUUGCACCUUCACAAAUUUAAUACAAGAUCACAGACCAUUUUCAUCAACAAUGUUCAAACAGAAAACCAAUAGAAAGGAUAGUUCCCCUUACACCACAACAAUAUUAGACCAUCAAUGCCUAUAAUAACAAAGAAAUAUCAGCUCCCCUUACCUCUUAAAGAACUACUUUGAUCAUUUAUUUAUGAAAUUUGAGCAAUACCUCCCUUCUCUACCCUUCAAAACCUUCUACACUCAAUCUAAACACCUUUCAGAAGCUCUCACAACUUUCUCUAUUACUUAGAUCCUAGCCCUUCAAUCUCCUUAUUUGCUACUAAAUUCUUGCUCUCUCUUCACCACUUUCACUCCCGAUGAUGAAAAACUUCAUUUCUUCACCCGUAUUUAUAGUUAAAAUUUGGGUUACUACAACAGUACUGUAGUUGUAUUACAUUUUGCUAUAGUUGUACUGUAGUAGUACUGUAGUUGUACUACAUUGUUACUGUAGCAGUACGGUAGCAACACGCUUUUCAUGAGAGUAUAUUACGAUAGCAUCAUACAUAUUUAUUGUAGCAUUAUACGUAUUCACUAUAGUAUCAUACGUACUUUACUGUAACAUUAUACAUAUUUUUCUAUACCAUAAAAAGUUUAUCUGUUUUCUUAAAUAUAACUAGUUUUCAAGGGUUUUAUAGGAACGACCA